rnacentral:lncRNA from 1 species
UCUCCCCCCCUUUUUGAAAGUAUCGAAAAGUUUCUAUCAAAAAUAAGAUCUAUCCUCUUUUUGAAUUCAAUCUUUUUUGAGCAAUAUAGACAUGAUAACAUUUCUUUUUUUUUGAACAAUAUAGAUUCAAAAAUACUUCUCCCCCUUUUGAAUAAUAUAGAUGCAUCAAAUAAAUUCAUAAAUUUAGUUAGAAAAUUACUUUGAGCUUUCAAGAUCUAAAAGGGAUAAAGCUUUUCAAAACUAUAUUUAGAUCAUUC